rnacentral:rRNA from 1 species
UGCGUAGGUGGUUUUUCAAGUCAGAAGUGAAAGGCUACGGCUCAACCGUAGUAAGCUUUUGAAACUGUUAAACUUGAGUGCAGGAGAGGAGAGUGGAAUUCCUAGUGUAGCGGUGAAAUGCGUAGAUAUUAGGAGGAACACCAGUUGCGAAGGCGGCUCUCUGGACUGUAACUGACACUGAGGCACGAAAGCGUGGGGAGUAAACA